GAUGAACGCUAGCGGCAGGCUUAAUACAUGCAAGUCGAGGGGCAGCAUGACUGUAGCAAUACAGUUGAUGGCGACCGGCAAACGGGUGCGGAACACGUACGCAAUCUACCCAAAACUGAUGAAUAGCCCUCCGAAAGGAGGAUUAAUACAUCGUAACUUAAUGAAGUGGCAUCACUUUAUUAAUAUAGCUCCGGCGGUUUUGGAUGAGCGUGCGCCUGAUUAGGUAGUUGGCGGGGUAACGGCCCACCAAGCCUGCGAUCAGUAACUGGUGUGAGAGCACGACCAGUCACACGGGCACUGAGACACGGGCCCGACUCCUACGGGAGGCAGCAGUAAGGAAUAUUGGUCAAUGGACGCAAGUCUGAACCAGCCAUGCCGCGUGAAGGAUGACGGCCCUCUGGGUUGUAAACUUCUUUUAUCUGGGACGAAAAAGGUCAUUCUUGAUCACUUGACGGUACCAGAGGAAUAAGCACCGGCUAACUCCGUGC
rnacentral:rRNA from 1 species